UUGGAGGGCAAGUCUGGUGCCAGCAGCCGCGGUAAUUCCAGCUCCAAUAGCGUAUAUUAAAGUUGUUGCAGUUAAAAAGCUCGUAGUUGAAUUUCGAGAUCAAUUUGUUGGUCGUGCCUCGGUACGUACUGGCAAUUUUGAUUUCUCCCUUCUGAAGAACCAUGAUGUCAUUAAUUUGGUGUCAUGGGGAAUCAGGACCGUUACUUUGAAAAAAUUAGAGUGUUUAAAGCAGGC
rnacentral:rRNA from 1 species